rnacentral:rRNA from 1 species
AUUGAACGCUGGCGGCAUGCUUUACACAUGCAAGUCGAACGGCAGCGCGGGCUUAGGCGUUGAGGCGAGUGGAAAAGGGGAGUAAAAUGCCUCGACAUGUGCAGAGGAGUGGGAGAAAGACCGGCGAAAGUAGGUUUAAUACCACACAAGAUAUGGAGGAGAGCGCGGGGGAGUGAAACGUCUCGCGCUUUUAGAGGGGGCGAUGUCAGAUUAGAUAGUUGGUGGGGUAAAGGCUCACCAAGGCGACGAUCCGUAGCUGGUCUGAGAGGACGACCAGCCACACUGGGACUGAGACACGGCCCAGACUCCUACGGGAGGCAGCAGUGGGGAAUUUUGGACAAUGGGGGCAACCCUGAUCCAGCCAUGCCGCGUGCGGGAAGAAGGCCUUCGGGUUGUAAACUGCUUUUGUACGGAAAGAAAUCGUUUUGGCUAAUACCCCGGGGGGAUGACGGUACCGUAAGAAUAAGCACCGGCUAACUACGUG